GACAGGAGGGGCAAGCGUUGCUCGGAAUUACUGGGCGAAAGGGCGCGUAGGCGAGAUGGCAAGUCGGUCGUGAAAUCCCUCGGCUCAACCGAAGGAACGUCGAUCGAUACUGCUGUUUCUUUGAGGAUUGCAGAGGGAGACUGGGAAUUCCCGGUGUAGCGGUGAAAUGUGGUAGAGAUGGGAGAACACCGGUGGCGAAGGCGGGUCUCUGGGCAAUUC
rnacentral:rRNA from 1 species